AAAUCACAAUGCGGGACUAUCAGUCUUGCAAUUGGAUUGAGAACAAUGUACAACUCUUAUCGAUAAGCCAUUGGAGGGCAAGUCUGGUGCCAGCAGCCGCGGUAAUUCCAGCUCCAAUAGCGUAUAUUAACGUUGUUGCAGUUAAAAAGCUCGUAGUUGAAGUGUGGGUGGUGCUGUCUGAAUGACUUCGGUUAGUCAGAUGAUCACUACCCCCUUCCAGUAUCCAGUAGUGGGUAUUCAGUUACUUACUAUUGUGUGUUGGUCGUUUACUGUGAGAAAAUUAGAGUGUUCAAAGCAGGCGUUUGCUUGAAUAGAUUAGCAUGGAAUAAUAAUUGAAGGCUUUCGUGUUCGAUUUGAUUGGUUUGUUCAUGGAAGCAAGGUUAAAAGGAACAGUUGGGGGUAUUCAUAUUCACUAGUUAGAGGUGAAAUUCUCGGAUUUAUGGAAGAUGA
rnacentral:rRNA from 1 species